rnacentral:rRNA from 1 species
UACGAAGGGGGCUAGCGUUGUUCGGAAUCACUGGGCGUAAAGGGUGCGUAGGCGGGUCUUUAAGUCAGGGGUGAAAUCCUGGAGCUCAACUCCAGAACUGCCUUUGAUACUGAGGAUCUUGAGUUCGGGAGAGGUGAGUGGAACUGCGAGUGUAGAGGUGAAAUUCGUAGAUAUUCGCAAGAACACCAGUGGCGAAGGCGGCUCACUGGCCCGAUACUGACGCUGAGGCACGAAAGCGUGGGAGCAAACAGGG